rnacentral:rRNA from 1 species
UGCAAGUCGAACGGCAGCACAGGAGAGCUUGCUCUCUGGGUGGCGAGUGGCGGACGGGUGAGGAAUACAUCGGAAUCUACUCUGUCGUGGGGGAUAACGUAGGGAAACUUACGCUAAUACCGCAUACGACCUACGGGUGAAAGCAGGGGACCUUCGGGCCUUGCGCGAUUGAAUGAGCCGAUGUCGGAUUAGCUAGUUGGCGGGGUAAAGGCCCACCAAGGCGACGAUCCGUAGCUGGUCUGAGAGGAUGAUCAGCCACACUGGAACUGAGACACGGUCCAGACUCCUACGGGAGGCAGCAGUGGGGAAUAUUGGACAAUGGGCGCAAGCCUGAUCCAGCCAUACCGCGUGGGUGAAGAAGGCCUUCGGGUUGUAAAGCCCUUUUGUUGGGAAAGAAAUCCAGCUGGCUAAUACCUGGUUGGGAUGACGGUACCCAAAGAAUAAGCACCGGCUAACUUCGUGCCAGCAGCCGCGGUAAUACGAAGGGUGCAAGCGUUACUCGGAAUUACUGGGCGUAAAGCGUGCGUAGGUGGUUAUUUAAGUCCGUUGUGAAAGCCCUGGGCUCAACCUGGGAACUGCAGUGGAUACUGGAUGACUAUAAUGUGGUAGAGGGUAGCGGAAUUCCUGGUGUAGCAGUGAAAUGCGUAGAGAUCAGGAGGAACAUCCAUGGCGAAGGCAGCUACCUGGACCAACAUUGACACUGAGGCACGAAAGCGUGGGGAGCAAACAGGAUUAGAUA